rnacentral:rRNA from 1 species
CAGCGCGCGGUAAUACAGAGGGUGCAAGCGUUAAUCGGAAUUACUGGGCGUAAAGCGCGCGUAGGUGGUUUGUUAAGUUGGAUGUGAAAGCCCCGGGCUCAACCUGGGAACUGCAUCCAAAACUGGCAAGCUAGAGUACGGUAGAGGGUGGUGGAAUUUCCUGUGUAGCGGUGAAAUGCGUAGAUAUAGGAAGGAACACCAGUGGCGAAGGCGACCACCUGGACUGAUACUGACACUGAGGUGCGAAAGCGUGGGGAGCAAACAGGAUUAGAUACCCCUGUAGUCCCUGUCUCUUAUACAC